GGGGAGGAAUUGGCGGGGGAGCACCGCAACGGGAGGAGCGUGCGGUUUAAUUGGAUUCAACACCGGAAAGCUCACCAGCGGCGACUGUUACAUGAAAGUCAGGCCGAUGACCUUACUAGAUUUUCAGAGAGGUGGUGCAUGGCCGUCGUCAGUUCGUACCGUAAGGCGUUCUCUUAAGUGAGAUAACGAACGAGACCCUCACCAAUAGUUGCUACUCCAUCCUCCGGGGUGGAGGCACACUAUUGGGACCGCUGGCGCUAAGUCAGAGGAAGGAGAGGUCAACGGUAGGUCAGUAUGCCCCGAAUCUGCUGGGCUACACGCGCGCUACAAAGGGCGGGACAAUGGGCUCCGACACCGAAAGGUGAAGGUAAUCCCGAAACCCGUCCGUAGUUCGGAUUGAGGGUUGUAACUCACCCUCAUGAAGCUGGAUUCCGUAGUAAUCGCGAAUCAACAACUCGCGGUGAAUAUGCCCCUGCUCCUUGCACACACCGC
rnacentral:rRNA from 1 species